GUGUGACCUUGCGAGGAACAUGGCGCUGAGGUCAGACUCGGACUGGAAGGUUUCAUGAUUUCUUGUGUUUAGGGCGCAGCAAUGAAGACUCCUCAAGCAGAGCUUUUAAAGGGCGCAGCAAUGACUACUCCUCAAGCAGAGCAUUUAAAGGGCUCAAACAAUGACGCCUCAUCAGCCAGUGCAAUCUUUCAGGUGAUGUAGACACAGGUUUGUAUGCUGCAAUGGAAUAGAUGCUGCUUUACUCGCCAUUUCUUGGUGCCAGAUGAGACCAGUACCCUUGCUUGUUAUAGUUCAAUUAAUUAACAAAAUGUAGCAAACUUUAAAGGGAUAUUCCAGGCAAAAUUUAAAUGCAGAUAUAUGAAUUAAAGUGAAGUCAAUUUUGAUGUAUUAGUGCCCGGUUUUUAGUAAUCCUUUUAAAAACAAGGGCACUUUAAUUCAUCAUAAUUAACAUUUCCCUUCAAAAACUUAACUUUUCAUUCUGGCAGCCGCUUCAGCGAUUCCCACCGCUGUCGGAAGCCUCUGCAGAUGUCAGAAAUUACGAAUCCGGCUUCCUCUAAUUACAGCUUUCCCCCCGGGGGAUUCUUGGCCUGAUUCAUAUCCGUGAUUGGAAGAAGCCGGAUUCGUCAUUUUGGACCCGCAAAGACAUCUUACGGAGGAAGUCCUGGAGCGCGGCUGCCAGGAUUAAAAGGUAAGAUUUUGAAUGAGUGAAAUGUCAAUUUUGAUGAAUUAAAGUGCCCUUGUUUUUCAUGGGAUUAUUAAAAACCGGGCACUAAUUCAUCAAAAUUGACCUUCACUUUAACUUUUGGUAGAAGCAUUUUUGUCAAUACGUGUAUAUUGCACAUAUGCUUCUGUAUCACCUCUUUAGUGUUUGCAUAUUUCUUUGCACGUGCAUGUGACGCAUAGCUAGGUGUUCUGUGUACCAGCAUUAUAGAUACUGCAGCUGCUCAAAGCGCCAGUGUGGCUUGUAUUUCAGCAAUAAAUUCAGUUAUUACAAGAUGGAGCAAGUGCUAUGUUUUAAAUGCUGGUGCACUGUGCAUAUUUAAAUACACAUUUGAAAUGGCAAAAAUGCUUCUAAUAAAAGCUUCAGCUAUAAAAAUUUUACCAAAUUGCUUUUAUUCAAAACUGAAAUGCAUCCAUGCGGAUUCCAAUUUUGCCUGGUAUGUCCCUUUAACCCUUGUGACAAAUUCAUUGCUGUAAAGUGCCAGUUUGUAUGUAAUUCCCCUUCAAGUUGAGAAUGUUGAAACUUAAGUCUCGUUAAUAAAGAAACAGGAUUUUUUUAAUUCUCAUUUAAA